rnacentral:tRNA from 1 species
GGAGAGAUGGCCGAGUGGCCGAAGGCGUACGCCUGCUAAGUGUGUAUCCGGGUUCCGGAUCGAGGGUUCGAAUCCCUCUCUCUCCGCCA